rnacentral:lncRNA from 1 species
UGGAUUCUGAUUUCUCCAUUGCGCCUUGGAGAUACGUAGGCAUGAAGUCUACGACUUUAUCGAGUCCAAAAAGCAAUAAAAUCAAGUUCUUUUCUCAUCUCCCCAAUCAAACGAUCAAAGCGAAAAAAGCAAAGCAUUCACAUAAACAUAAGCAAAAAGGUUCCUGUGGAGUACCACAGAUGUAGAGGGUGCUAAUACCUUCCCUUUGC